rnacentral:ncRNA from 17 species
GCUGCCGCCAAAUCGGCAGCCUGGGCUUGGCGGCCCGGAUAAAACGGGCGGUCACAAAACCGCUGUAAAAAAGCGGUUUUUUU